rnacentral:misc_RNA from 1 species
GAUGAAGAACGUAGCGAAAUGCGAUAAGUAGUGUGAAUUGCAGAAUUCAGUGAAUCAUCGAAUCUUUGAACGCACAUUGCGCCCCAUGGUAUUCCGUGGGGCAUGCCUGUUCGAGCGUCAUACCCCCUCAAGCUCCGCUUGGUGUUGGGCGUCUGUCCCGCUUCGCGCGCGGACUCGCCCCAAAGGUAUUGGCAGCGGUCGUGCCAGCUUCUCGCGCAGCACAUUGCGCUUCUCGAGGCACCGGUGGGCCCGCGUCCAUCAAGCUCACCCCCCCCAGUUUGACCUCGGAUCAGGUAGGGAUACCCGCUGAACUUAAGCAUAUCAAUAAGCGGAGGA